UACGUAGGCAGCAAGCGUUGUUCGGAGUUACUGGGCGUAAAGGGUGCGUAGGCGGUUGUUUAAGUUUGGUGUGAAAUCUCCCGGCUCAACUGGGAGGGUGCGCCGAAUACUGAAUGACUAGAGUGCGGGAGAGGAGAGUGGAAUUCCUGGUGUAGCGGUGAAAUGCGUAGAUAAUCAGGAGGAACACCGGUGGUGUAGACGGCUCUCUGGACCGUAACUGACGCUGAGGCACGAAAGCGUGGGUAGCAAACAGG
rnacentral:rRNA from 1 species